UCAGGGGACAUGUGGCCAUUCAUUGCCUCCUUCAAAGCCGUCAGAGACCCUCCUCCAUAGGAUUUUCCUUUUCUCCUACAAGUCAAGACCUGGAACAUCAGCUAAUGGUAAUCCUCAGUUUAGCAUAGCUGCCCGCAAAGGGUCUCACUUUGUCACCCAGGUUGGAGUACAGUGGCGUGAUCUCUGCUCACCGCAACCUCUGCUUCCUGGGCUCGAGUGAUUCUCCAGCCUCAGCCUCCCAAGUAGCUGAGACUACAGAUUCUGGAACUGUUUGAAUUUCUCGGCAAUUCUUGGCACAGAAGCAUCCACGCUGAUCCCAACUGGGAGAGGUCUUUUCUGGGUAGGAGGGACCCAGAUUUGGCAGCAGCAAACUUGAAACUCAAGGGAGACUCUUCACAUUCCCAAAAGAAGUCUUGGGGCACCACCACGCCUAUGGUGAACAAGGGUGCUUAUUCAAAAUGCCAAAGCGUGAUGAUUUUAAGAGGAUUCUCCUCUUUCAAUAAUCUCUGGGUACACUUGGAAAGAAAUUUUACCUUCUGUGUUGUAAUUGAAUAGAUUUUAUAUUUUUAAGAUAAAGAACAUUCAAUUUUACAACCCUAAAAGGAAAGUCUACAGGCUGCUUUCUCUAAUUCAAUCUUAAAGCUCUUCUCUUUGAUGAGGAGCAGAUACUGUUUAAUUUCUGACCCACCAAUAUGUCUUCCCAGCCUAUAGGGAGAUGGGGGUGCUUUCUGUCUCCUUCCCGUUUACUUCUUCCCUGACUAUAUUCUCCACUGUGGACAAAUUCAGAGUUGUGACUGGGAAACAAAAUUCCUGGAGGUAUUUAAAAAAAAAAAAGUCAGGGUAAUGCAAUGUGUGGAAUUUGGAUUAAGCUCUGAAAUGUUUUUAAUUCCAUCUCCACUGCUCACUAUUUGUGUGAUAUUAAUGAAGUAAAUAACUUCUCUGAACCUCAGUUUCUCCAUUGAGGUAAAAUUCUUUCAGGGUUAUCAUGAUGAUAAAGUGAGACUCCUACAACGUAAUAGGUAUCUAGCAUAAUCCCUGGCAACAAGUUGAAUCCCACGAUUAUUUCUUCCAUUUAAAAAAAAAUUAAACCAACCCCCAUGUAUCGUUUCACAAACCUAGAAGAGUCCACUUAUUUUAGAUCAGACACUGUGAGAACUUAAAAGGAAAGAUAGAGAAGAAGUUUGAGAUAGGCUUUGAGCAAAAACAAGAGACAACCAACAAUAACAGGGCAUUUGCUAUAAUCAUUU
ensembl:lncRNA